rnacentral:ncRNA from 1 species
UUUUGGGUUCUUCCAUAUGCGAAGAUGAAAAGGGAAAAAGGUGUAAGGCCUUUGCUGUUCCCGCAACUGUAAGUACUGCAACGCUCAAUACUUCUACCACUGUCCGCCUCGGCGUAUGGGAAGGUUUGUUGAGUAGUACAAGUCAGGAGACCUGCCUAGGAGA